GACGAACGCUGGCGGCGUGCCUAAUACAUGCAAGUUGAGCGCUGAAGGUUGGUACUUGUACCAACUGGAUGAGCAGCGAACGGGUGAGUAACGCGUGGGGAAUCUGCCUUUGAGCGGGGGACAACAUUUGGAAACGAAUGCUAAUACCGCAUAAAAACUUUAAACACAAGUUUUAAGUUUGAAAGAUGCAAUUGCAUCACUCAAAGAUGAUCCCGCGUUGUAUUAGCUAGUUGGUGAGGUAAAGGCUCACCAAGGCGAUGAUACAUAGCCGACCUGAGAGGGUGAGCGGCCACAUUGGGCCUGAGACACGGCCCAAACUCCUACGGGAGGCAGCAGUAGGGAAUCUUCGGCAAUGGACGAAAGUCUGACCGAGCAACGCCGCGUGAGUGAAGAAGGUUGUCGGAUCGUAAAACUCGGUUGGUAGAGAAGAACGUUGGUGAGAGUGGAAAGCUCAGCAAGUGACGGUAACUACACAGAAAGGGACGGCUAACUACGUG
rnacentral:rRNA from 1 species